GAUGAACGCUGGCAGCAUGCUUAACACAUGCAAGUCGAGCGGAAAGUGGGGUUUUAACUUAGGUUUGGGUGGCGGACGGGUGAGUAACGAGUAAAGAACUUGCCUCACAGCUAGGGACGACAUACGGAAACGAAUGCUAGUACAUAAUAUUAUGAUAAUAGAGCAUCAUAGAAUUAUGAAAACUAUCAGCGCUGUGAGAGAGCUUUGCGUCACAUUAGCUAGUUGGGGAGGUAACGGCUCACAAAGGCGAUGAUGGGUAGCCAGCCUGGGAGGGUGAUCGGCCACAAGGGCCCUGGGGCACGGCCCUUACUCCAACGGGAGGCAGGAGCGGGGAAUAUUCGACACUGGACCAAGAGUCUGAUGCAGCACUUCUGUGUGCACGAUGAAGUUUUUCGGAAUGUAAAGUUGUUUAAGUUGCUAAGCACGAAAUGACGGUACCAACAGAAGAAGUGACGGCUAACUACGUG
rnacentral:rRNA from 1 species